CGGAAGUGAUGUUAGAGAAUGAGGUAUUGUAAAUAUGUACAAUGACUGGUUGUUUUGUGCAUCAGCUGCUCAGUUCAUCUUGCACCUAAUAUAUGUGUGUGUGUGUGUGUGUGUGUGUGUGUGUGUGUGUGUGUUUUAGGGCGGUUCCUGUGCACGGGGCACUGAGCUGAGGGGGUGCAAAAUUGAGAAGUUCCAU